AGAAGAGGUCUAAUACCUGCGAUGGGUUGAUCUCCCUCAAGUUAUCGCAGUAUUGUUGCUCUCAAACCUGUGGAGACAAGGUUUGUUAGACAUGGCCAUGGCCCUCAAAAUGGUUGCCGAGGCCACAGCAGUUGACUGCAGAAGCCAAGAGCACAGGCAGUUCCUCGAGUGACUGUGAAAAGGUGCCGUGGGACAGAAGUCUAAUUUGCAGAAAGUUUAUUCUUGCAAGGCGUUUGGGGUCGAGAAGAACUUUCACCAGGAAAGACUGCAUUACGAGAGAUUCAAGAAAAUAAGUGGUUUCUAGGAUCUAAAGAACU